CAUCGUAAUUAAAAAACUCUCCUUCUUGCCCUCCAGCUGCUGCAGUGGCAUGGCUCCCAGUAGCUCUGCCAUCCAAUUCCAUGUCGAUCUUUGAUGGUGCGUCUAAAAAUCUCGUUGAGAACCACCAACAAGACCGUAUGCAACUCAAGAUGAUAUGUCACAUCCUAGAAGUGAUGGUAUACUCGCCCUACAGUAGGUGAAACUUGUCGAAACAAAAAUCUCUUAGCCUUACUGCAUACUCAAAUCCUGCCUCCCUGAUGUUCGACAGCAUAAUAUAUAGAGAAGGUAUGAUAUGGGAAUAUCUGUCUAGAAUGAAGCACCAUCGACUGCAAACAUAUGAAAUAAUUAAUAUAUUAAUAUAUAAUAGGAGAGUAGUAGAUGGUUAGUUGAUUGACAAGUGGUGGUGCUUUGUAUAAUAGACAAGUGUUACUCUCUAUUACAUGAUAAGUGGCAAAUCAACAAAAUUAAUAUUAAUAAAAUAAUAAAAAUAAAAAAUCCAAUGAUCAAUGAACAAAAUAAUUGGAGGGAUUCUGAUUCAAAUUGAAAUUCAAAAUUUUUUUGUUACCGCUGUCCUCAUAUAUAUAUUAGUUAAACGGUGAAGAAAGAAAAGAAGGAAAUAAAGAAACCGAUAGUUACAGAAAAGAGGGUGGCGACGAACAAUAAAAACGACAGUCGAAGAAAGAAAAGACGACAGAAGAAGAAGAAAAUGAUGGUGAAGAAAGACGGUCGACGUAGCAGAGAAGAAGAAAAUGACGGUGAAGAAGAUACGGACGACGGAAGAAGAAGAGGGUGGCGACGACAGAGACGGUCACAGAGAAGGAAGCUAAAUCGAAGAGAAAAGAAGAGGAAUGAGGUGACGCGGUGAUGGAGUCCACCGUCGUUGUUGGAUCCGCAGAGCUGCAUCCUCCGCAGGACGGUGUCACAGCCGUUUCUUCGCCGGUGGGCGCUACGAAUGAAGGAUGAAUGGCGUGCUACACUUAAAGAAGAGAAUGGUGAAGGAGCAGCUAGCAGUAAGUUGACGACACCGGUAAAGAGAACGGUGAGCUUUGAUAUCCUAUCUUGGGCGGUAUUACAGAGUGAAUAUGGUUGUGAAUGAACUAGACAAGACCUUUAUCCAUCAAAGAAGAAGCCACUUUCUGAAGGUGAGUAGAGGUUCUCUUUGUGCUUCUCAUAGAUCGAUAUGAAAAAGUGAGGCUCACAAAGUGGUACGCCCCAUGCUCUCGAAAAGAAAGAUCCAAGGUAUAUGGCCGUGUGAUUAAAUUCAAAGUUUCACAUUUUUAAUUCAUUAUUAUAUAUUUUAUAUUUUAUAGAAGAGGAUCAGAUUUCUUUUGUUAAUUCAAAUUAUUUGAUCUUGAGCUAUUCAUCAUUUGGGCAAAAGGUUUUAAAUUGGAGUAGGAGGUUGUAAUUGUGGUUGUUGCGAUAAAAAUUUGUUAAAUUGAUUUGAUGAAAUCCAUUACAAGCUAUUGCAAACCACAAUUGCAAUAUGAUACAAUGUAGUAGAGACUCCUUGAAAUAUAGAAUUAGUAGAGUGUAGAAGAAAGAAACCCGAUCUAUUAUAUAAUGUGAUCCUCUAAUUUGUUUAAAUAAAAAGUUACA